rnacentral:rRNA from 1 species
UACGGAGGAUCCAAGCGUUAUCCGGAUUUAUUGGGUUUAAAGGGUGCGUAGGCGGCUUUUUAAGUCAGGGGUGAAAGACGGUGGCUCAACCAUCGCAGUGCCUUUGAUACUGAAGAGCUUGAAUACACUUGAGGCAGGCGGAAUGUGACAAGUAGCGGUGAAAUGCAUAGAUAUGUCACAGAACACCAAUUGCGAAGGCAGCUUACUAAAGUGUAAUUGACGCUGAGGCACGAAAGCGUGGGGAUCAAACAGG